UUGCGUCAGCAGCACAUAUACUCAAAUUGAAAUGGUACAGAGAAGGAUUAGUAUGGCCUCUGUGCAAGGAUGACAUGCAGAUUUGUGAAGUGUUCCAUAUUCUU